rnacentral:tRNA from 1 species
AAAGGGAUAGUUCAAUGGUAGACUACCUGCCUAGCAAGUAUGAUGUCCUGAGUUCAAAUCUCAGUUUCCUCC